UACGUAGGGCGCAAGCGUUAUCCGGAAGUAUUGGGAGUAAAGAGCUCGUAGGCGGUUUGUCGCGUCUGCCGUGAAAGUCCGGGGCUCAACUCCGGAUCUGCGGUGGGUACGGGCAGACUAGAGUGAUGUAGGGGAGACUGGAAUUCCUGGUGUAGCGGUGAAAUGCGCAGAUAUCAGGAGGAACACCGAUGGCGAAGGCAGGUCUCUGGGCAUUAACUGACGCUGAGGAGCGAAAGCAUGUGGAGCGAACAGG
rnacentral:rRNA from 1 species